UCGUAACAAGGUCUCCGUAGGUGAACCUGCGGAGGGAACAUUACACAAAUAUGAAGGCGGGCUGGAACCUCUCGGGGUUACAGCCUUGCUGAAUUAUUCACCCUUGUCUUUUGCGUACUUCUUGUUUCCUUGGUGGGUUCGCCCACCACUAGGACAAACAUAAACCUUUUGUAAUUGCAAUCAGCGUCAGUAACAAAUUAAUAAUUACAACUUUCAACAACGGAUCUCUUGGUUCUGGCAUCGAUGAAGAACGCAGCGAAAUGCGAUAAGUGGUGUGAAUUGCAGAAUUCAGUGAAUCAUCGAAUCUUUGAACGCACAUUGCGCCCUUUGGUAUUCCAAAGGGCAUGCCUGUUCGAGCGUCAUUUGUACCCUCAAGCUUUGCUUGGUGUUGGGCGUCUUGUCUCUAGCUUUGCUGGAGACCCGCCUUAAAGUAAUUGGCAGCCGGCCUACUGGUUUCGGAGCGCAGCACAAGUCGCACUCUCUAUCAGCAAAGGUCUAGCAUCCAUUAAGCCUUUUUU
rnacentral:rRNA from 1 species